rnacentral:snoRNA from 1 species
UCACAAUGAUGAAUUGUCCAAACACUCGCAGUUUCCACCAGAAUUUGACUUGUGGUUGGCACAGUAGCUUGCUUCCUUGGAUGUCUGAGGGA